CACAGAGGUCCAUUGGGUAUACAUGGCAGCCUCAAAAAUUGCCACAGCCAUGGAGGGUGGGCCCAGAAUGGGCCAAAGACUGCCCAAACGUGGCAAUUUGGACAGUAACAUAGGCUGGGGGGGAGGGGGAACCUCUGGAGACCCCCACCCUGCAGCAUCGGAGAAGCCCCCCUGGAGUGGUGUUUGUGAUGGCAGUCAUAACUUGAUCCCAGACCCUAGCGCCAUUCAGACAUUACAAGUACAAGCUUUGCUUAUGAUUACAAGUGCCAAAUCAGCAAACAGCUGAAACAAAUAACUGCAGAUAUUCAAAAUACACCAACUUCUGCAAUUUCACUAUUUAGUUUCAAAUAAGAAAUUCCUAGCCUGAUUUAGCAGGUGUAACUGAGUAAAGUUAGUUAGCUAACUGCUAACUUCUCACUGCUGCCGCCGCCGCCAUCACAUGAAGGAAGCAAGCUGUACCUGCUGGGCCACCUAUCCAUGCUCCUGCAUCAUGUGGCUCUGCAACCUGCCACUGAAGCAAACCAUUCCCUCUGGCUUCCCCAUUGGAUGGAUGGUCAAUAGGAUGCCAGCAGGGAAAGGAGACAAAGAGGCCAAAUUGCUACUAAUUCUGGAGGAAUACUAUGACCAUUGAUGCAGAUUACAGUUCCUAAAAUAAUCUACGCUGAUCCCAGGACUGCAGGGGAGGAAUUAAAAAAGAAACCAUGCUGGACGUUUUAAAAAUGAAGUCACAGAAGUCCCGAUGCUUCUUGCCAGGAGUACAACCUGCCUUGUUUCCUGCACACUUCAUAAAUGCAUGCUCAGAAGAAGGGAGAAGGGAAGGAAGAAGAAGGAGAAGAGAAGGAAGGAAGAGCCAAAUCAGGACUGAAUCAAAUGAGGCCAAAUUUGGCCUGUUUCAGUUCUAUUUGUCUCUAACUAGCUGGCACUUUGGUUCAGGCCAAAUCCCGACGAAGCAGGCUGAAGCAGCAUGCUGAGAUUCAGACCUGAGUCAGCCAUCAAAACUUCACACAGUCCUAAUAAAUAUCCUUUGUUCUCAGCACCUGAGGCUCUGCUUCCCCACUCUACACUCGUAUUUGACUUGGUGCUGUCUCUUCCCCCACU